rnacentral:lncRNA from 1 species
GAAGAUUCCCCCAAGUGGUCUCUUUGCAAUUGCCUUUUACCUUGAGCUCCAUUUAAGGGAAACCAGUUGCCAUUCUUACUAUGGAGUAGAGCAAAGCAUAUUUGUUAUGUGGUGAUUUAGCAUUUCAGAGCUCUAGAACCCUAAAGAAAUGUCAGGCUUCUUCUGACAGAGGUCAUUGUUGGUGUGAGCAAAGGACAGAGAUUUAGCCUUAUACUCCCCAUCUUCAGAUGCACACGUAGAAAAAUACACAAGCUAAUGAAAAAAAAAAUCAAGCAAAAAACUUAGAAAUAUUUAACUUCCUAAAUAUUUCUUUCCUUUGAAAGAGCAUGCCUCAAGUGCUUCGUGCUCUCCAGGGCAAAUAAAAUGAAAACAAAGAACUCAAUUAAAAAUGAUC